rnacentral:piRNA from 1 species
UAGCAUAACUACUAGCUCAGGGAAAGAGCGC